AAUAAAGUCAGUAAUAUUCUGCUUAUUUUAUGGUUGAGCAAACAGACUUGGAACCAUGUGUUCUGCGUUUCUAUUAAUGAAAUCCAGUCUUGUCCUGGCACUGAUUAACAAUCCGCUCUGCAGACAGACACCUCUGUACACAGUAAUCCCAUGCACAGAGCCUUCCAUGUGAAAUCACCAGACCUCCCGUGUUCCCUACACCUUGCAAAUAUGGACCUAAGGGACAGUUCACACAUCAGGUUUUGAUUCUCAG
rnacentral:lncRNA from 1 species